GGACCUGUCUUCAAGUGGGUUGUCCGGGAAAAUAGACUCUUCACUGUCCAAUCUCGAAUCCUUACAGUACUUAGAUUUAUCAAACAAUAGUCUUAACUGGAGAAGUGCCAGAUUUUCUCAGCCAACUGCCUCUAUUGAAGACCCUAAACUUAUCAGGGAAUGAAUUCACAGGUUCAGUUCCAUCACUUCUUAUCCAAAGAUCCAAAAAUGGAUCCCUCUCUUUGAGGUUUGCUUGACAGACCGACCAAAUUCAAGUUUUAGACCAUCUUGAUUCAGUUGAAUGUCCUAAAAUUUUCCAUUUGGUGCUAGUGUGGAUGGCAAUCCAAAUCUUUGUGUAAUGGCCUCAUGCAACAACAAGAAGAGUGUCGUUAUACCGCUAAUUGCAUCUAUUGCUGUAGUUUUAGUAC